GCCAGGCAUGGUGGUGCAUGCCUGUAGUCCCAGCUACUCAGGAGGCUGAGGUGGGAGGAUCACUUGAGCCCAGGAGGUCGAGGCUGCAGUGAGCCAUGAUUGUGCCACUGCACUCCAGCCUGGGCAACAGAGCAAGACCCUGUCUCAA
rnacentral:SRP_RNA from 1 species